rnacentral:tRNA from 1 species
AUUUAAAUAGUUUAAUAAAAAUAUUGAUUUGUGAUGUCAAUGAUAUGAUAGUCAUUUUAAAUU